AUAUGAGUUUGAGCAAAUUUUUGCAGGACAUUUUCAUAUUUCACCUUUGAAGGCAUUUGCACAGGUUAUGAUACUCUGGUAAACAUGGAAAGCUAUGCAUGCAAUUACGUUGUUGAUGGAUUUCAAUGCAACAAGAAUACCUCGUUACAAUUCUAAAAAUGGCGGAAGUGGUCAAUUAGGACAAACUGGGAAUACCAGCAGCAAGUAAAACAUUGGAUAGUUCUGAUGCAUGUGUGACUGUUCUUUGUAUUAAACUUGUUACGUGGUGGCCAUGGG